AUGUGCCUACACCAGGAUUUCUCCUGCUAUAUUUUUAGAGAGCUUGGUGUUUAUCUAGCAACAAUGUUGACCUCAUUGCUGCCAGAAAGAGUAGUUCACGUAGGAUGUCCAGAAACCAAUCCAGGGAAAGCCCAUGAUCUACGGUUUCCUAAUUCCUGUUUCCAGCUGCCUUCAUUGUGGAAAAGAGGAAGAUAUACUACUUGCAUCAGCUGUACCCUCCUUGGAACAGGGUGAAAGCCACUUAAUAAGUGGGAUUCAGCAGCUGAAGCACAGGUGUGUAGUGAGUGACAUUGCAGCUCCUGGUGUUCAAGAUAUCCAUGUCAGGAUGGCCAAAAUGCCACAGGGCUGACAAGAAGCCCAUAUCCUUCCUGUAAGGCACACAGAGCGGAGACAGAAUACACUCUACAGUAUCUAAAAUGUUGCUUAGAUUCAUCUAAAAGAUAAUUUGGUAUAAAAACCUUUCUGUUCUCAUAUUUUUUUCUGCAAUUUCUCUAUUUUCAUAAGCUAUCUGUUCUGUGAAAAACAAACAAGGAAAAAAAAGCAAUAGAAAUGAAGGUUGAAAAUUAAAAUAAAAAUAAAAUAAAGAGCA
rnacentral:lncRNA from 1 species